CGGGUGAGUAACACGUGGAUAACCUACCUAUAAGACUGGGAUAACUUCGGGAAACCGGAGCUAAUACCGGAUAAUAUAUUGAACCGCAUGGUUCAAUAGUGAAAGACGGCUUUGCUGUCACUUAUAGAUGGAUCCGCGUCGCAUUAGCUAGUUGGUAAGGUAACGGCUUACCAAGGCAACGAUGCGUAGCCGACCUGAGAGGGUGAUCGGCCACACUGGAACUGAGACACGGUCCAGACUCCUACGGGAGGCAGCAGCA
rnacentral:rRNA from 1 species